UUUUACACUUAUAUUGUAUUGUGAUACUGACUACCAACUAAUAAUAAAAACAAACCUAUAUAUUUUUAAAAUUCACACGAAUUUUUUUCUGGAAUUUUGUGUUAUCUAUAGUUGGUGAUUCCUAAAACAUCAAUACCAAUAGUUAUUACGCUUACAAUUAAUUAACAACACUUUCAAAACCACAAGAAAAGGAUCACUUGCCAGGAGAGGUUGUAGGACUUGUCAAAUUUGUCCGUGAUCCCUAAGGACUACAGCAUAGAAUUGUUACUUAUUAUAUUUUGUAACUAGUGUGCAACUAAGAAGUGAUUAUUAGCAUCUGUUUAUCCUAUUUAUAGAAUAAGGACGCAAUGUUAGACAAAAAACUUUUGGAAGAUUGGCGGCAGUAGCAGCAGGACAUGAAAAGAAAAUUCAAAAAGGCUGAAGCUGAUUUUUCCGUGUAUGUUUAAUAACGUUAAUUCGUUAUUAACUUUUGAUCAAAAUAAAAUGAUAGUGCAUCCCAAACUGCAACAAGCGGGGCGGCAGAACUUAUUAAGUUCUCUUCAAAUAAAAAUAAAUCGCGAAACCAUUAACUGUUUUAACCAUGAAGAACAAAAUUUAAACAUUCGCGUCCGGUUCAAAGAAGAGGCCGGGCAGGACGAUUUUAUUUUCCAAUUUGAAAAUUUAGUAAGGCUAAAGACAGCUAAAAUGGCGUUUCAGGAAUUUUUGAGAUAAUACAAAUUUUAUAUACACUAUUAUGUCUAAAAAGUUCUUUUUAUACUUAUUUCGUAUAAAACGUAGGUAUAAUUUCUUUGCACAAAUUUAGAGAAAGUAAAAAGAUUUUUUCUAUUUUGGUGUCACAAUGAGCAUGCAAUUUAGUGACACUGGUUUUUGGCGACAUUUUAUGCAAUACUUUGGCCAUCACUGGGACUUGCAACGUAAAUUACGAUUACAAAAGUAGCAAAAAUGUAACAUUACAUAAACAUAAAUUGAUCAAUUGUUCUGUGAUUUAAUAAAUGUAAUCAGUUUUUUUUUGAACGCACUGAAUAAAGAAAAUAAGAAGA